GUGCUUGCUUCAACAGCACAUAUAUUAAAAUUGGAGUUAUAAAGAGAUUAGCAUGACUUCUGUGCAAGGAUGACAUGCAAAUUUCUGAAGCAUCCAUAUUUUUC
rfam:Tupaia chinensis contig174809, whole genome shotgun sequence.